UCGCGAUAAAGGCAAACCCUGAGCGAUCAGGGGGCGCAAAGGAAAGGAUCUUGGGCGCACAGGGAAGUGCGUCAACAAAAAGUGAAUUUGUAAGACAACAAGGAAGUAGUCUCGGUUAAAGAUAGCCUUGCCGCCGAA
rnacentral:ncRNA from 1 species